UACGGAGGGUGCGAGCGUUGUCCGGAUUUAUUGGGUUUAAAGGGUGCGUAGGUGGCUAUUUAAGUCAGUGGUGAAAUACAGCCGCUCAACGGUUGAGGUGCCAUUGAUACUGAAUAGCUUGAAAGAAUUGGAGGCUGCCGGAAUGGAUGGUGUAGCGGUGAAAUGCAUAGAUAUCAUCCAGAACACCGAUUGCGAAGGCAGCUUGCUAAACUAUUAUUGACGCUGAGGCACGAAAGCGUGGGUAGCGAACAGG
rnacentral:rRNA from 1 species